UAGGGAAUUUUCGGCAAUGGACGAAAGUCUGACCGAGCAAUGCCGCGUGAACGAAGAAGUAUUUCGGUAUGUAAAGUUCUUUUAUUAGGGACGAAAAAACAAAUUGACGGUACCUAAUGAAUAAGCUCCGGCUAACUACGUGCCAGCAGCCGCGGUAAUACGUAGGGAGCGAGCGUUAUCCGGAAUUAUUGGGCGUAAAGGGUGCGUAGAUGGCACAUUAAGUUUUCUGUAAAAAUGCUAGGCUCAACCUAGUAGGGCAGAAAAUACUGAUGAGCUAGAGUACGACAGAGGCAAGUGGAACUCCAUGUGUAGCGGUAAAAUGCGUAAAUAUAUGGAAGAACACCAGUGGCGAAGGCGGCUUGCUAGGUCGAUACUGACAUUGAGGCACGAAAGCGUGGGGAGCAAACAGGA
rnacentral:rRNA from 1 species